rnacentral:misc_RNA from 1 species
UGAUGUCACUGCCGAUAUCCUCCAUAACAUGGGAAGCAGCCUAGCUGAAUCAAUAGUAGGCAGAUAUAUCCGCUGUGAUGUUGCUAAUGAAGCUGAUGCAGAAUCAGCUAUCAAUCCUGCACUAGCUUGGAAAGGCAAACUGGACAUCAUGUUCAACAAUGCUGGUAUUGCAGGUCCUGAUGGGAGCAUCACCAAUCUUGACAUGGAGCAAGCACCCUAUUCUCAGUAAAUGUGAAUGGAAAUUUACAUUGGGAUCAAGCACGCGGUAAAGGCCAUGAUAGAAAGUCGAAACGGAGGCAGCAUCAUAUGCACAGCAAGCUCUGCAGCUAUAAUGGGGGGCCUGGGAUCACAUGCUUACACAUUGUCAAAAGGGGCUAUUGUUGGAUUGAUGAAGAGCACUGCUUGUGAGUUAGGUGUGUAUGGUAUUCGAGGGAACUGCAUUUCGCCUCAUGGGGUUCCUUCAGAGAUGCUUUUUAGUGCAUACAGAAGGAUCCUGGGGAAAGAGGACAUGAAGCCUGAAGAAGUGGGCAAGAUUGUUGGGGAAAGGGAAGUCUUUUGCGAGGGAGAUAUGCAAAUGAAGAAGAUGUGGCUCAGGCUGCAUUGUUUCUUGCAAAUGAAGAAUCAGGAUUCAUAACAGCACACAAUCUUGUCAUUGAUGGGGGCUAUAUCUUUGCUAAUAGUAACAUGGCGUUCAUUUACCGAUAGUCAAAAUGAAGUAUAUAGAGGAACCUGAAAAUAGCAAUAUGAUGAAUAAAACAAGGUCAUAUAUGAUAAGUAGUUCUAUAUAUUCUUUUCUUUUUCAAGACUUCUGCCUAG